rnacentral:rRNA from 1 species
GUUAAGCGACUAAGCGUACACGGUGGAUGCCCUGGCAGUCAGAGGCGAUGAAGGACGUGCUAAUCUGCGAUAAGCGUCGGUAAGGUGAUAUGAACCGUUAUAACCGGCGAUUUCCGAAUGGGGAAACCCAGUGUGUUUCGACACACUAUCAUUAACUGAAUCCAUAGGUUAAUGAGGCGAACCGGGGGAACUGAAACAUCUAAGUACCCCGAGGAAAAGAAAUCAACCGAGAUUCCCCCAGUAGCGGCGAGCGAACGGGGAGCAGCCCAGAGCCUGAAU